rnacentral:rRNA from 1 species
AGAGUUUGAUCCUGGCUCAGGACGAACGCUGGCGGCGUGCCUAACACAUGCAAGUCGAGCGGAGAUGAUCUGAAGUUUACUUUGGGUUGUCUUAGCGGCGGACGGGUGAGUAACGCGUGGGCAACCUGCCUUUCACAGGGGGAUAACACAGGGAAACUUGUGCUAAUACCGCAUAACACAGCGAGAAAGCAUUUUCUUGUUGUCAAAGGAGCAAUCCGGUGAAAGAUGGACCCGCGGCGCAUUAGCUAGUUGGUGAGGUAACGGCUCACCAAGGCGACGAUGCGUAGCCGACCUGAGAGGGUGAUCGGCCACAUUGGAACUGAGACACGGUCCAGACUCCUACGGGAGGCAGCAGUGGGGAGUAUUGCACAAUGGGCGAAAGCCUGAUGCAGCAACGCCGCGUGAGUGAUGAAGGCCUUCGGGUUGUAAAGCUCUGUCUUUGGGGACGAUAAUGACGGUACCCAAGGAGGAAGCCACGGCUAACUACGUGCCAGCAGCCGCGGUAAUACGUAGGUGGCGAGCGUUGUCCGGAUUUACUGGGCGUAAAGGAUGCGUAGGCGGAUAUUUAAGUGAGAUGUGAAAUACCCGGGCUUAACUUGGGUGCUGCAUUUCAAACUGGAUAUCUAGAGUGCGGGAGAGGAGAAUGGAAUUCCUAGUGUAGCGGUGAAAUGCGUAGAGAUUAGGAAGAACACCAGUGGCGAAGGCGAUUCUCUGGACCGUAACUGACGCUGAGGCAUGAAAGCGUGGGUAGCAAACAGGAUUAGAUACCCUGGUAGUCCACGCCGUAAACGAUGAGUAC